CUAUUUGACGUUAGCUGCAGAAGAAGCACCGGCUAACUCCGUGCCAGCAGCCGACGGUAAUACGGGAGGGUGCGAGACGUUAAUACGGAAUUACGUGGGACGUAAAGCGCAUGCAGGUUGGUUUAGUUAAGUCAGAUGUAGAAACGGCCCGGGGCUACCAACCGUACGGUAAUUGCUAUUUAGAAACGUGGACAAACUAGAGUACUGUAGAGGGGGUAGAAUUUCAGGUGUAGCGGUGAAAUGCGUAGAGAUCUGAAGGAAUACCGGUGGCGAAGGCGGCCCCCUGGACAGAUACUGACACUCAGAUGCGAAAGCGUGGGGAGCAAACAGGAUUAGAUACCCUGGUAG
rnacentral:rRNA from 1 species